rnacentral:rRNA from 1 species
AUGCCGAAGGCAGGGGCUAGUGACUGGAGUGAAGUCGUAACAAGGUAGCCGUACUGGAAGGUGCGGCUGGAUCACCUCCUU